rnacentral:rRNA from 1 species
CCUACGGGAGGCAGCAGUGGGGAAUAUUGCACAAUGGGGGAAACCCUGAUGCAGCGACGCCGCGUGAAGGAAGAAGUAUCUCGGUAUGUAAACUUCUAUCAGCAGGGGAGAAAAUGACGGUACCCGACUACGAAGCCCCGGCUAACUACGUGCCAGCAGCCGCUGUAAUCCGUAGGGCGCAAGCGUUAUCCGGAUUUACUGGGGGUAAAGGGAGCGUAGGCGGGGAUGCAAGGCAGAAGUGAAAGCCCGGGGCUCAACUCCGGGACUGCUUUUGAAACUGUGUUGCUAGAUUGCAGGAGAGGUAAGUGGAAUUCCUAGUGUAGCGGUGAAAUGCGUAGAUAUUAGGCGGAACACCAGUGGCGAAGGCGGCAUACUGGACUGUAAAUGACGCUGAGGCUCGAAAGCGUGGGGAGCAAACAGGAUUAGAUACCCCUGUAGUC